AAUGAGUGUAAAUCUAUGGUCAGCAAACUACUACAGAUGGGCCAAAUUGGGUAAACAUGCCACCUGUUUUUUUCAAGUUUUAUUGGCACACAACCAUAGUCAUUUAUUUGUAUAAUGUCUGUGGCUGUGUUUGUUCUACAACAGCAGAAUCAAAUCGUUCCAACAGAAACUGUAUGGCCUAAAAUAUUUACUAUCUGUGUCUUUACAGGAAAAGUUUGCAGUUAACAGUAUUUUUGAGACAUUUGCAGCAACUGUCAUGUAAUAUGAAGGCAUUUAUGGUUUCUAGGGAAAAAGUCACAGGCCUUGCUGCCACCAUUGUGGCUUGUUGGCUACAUUCAUUAUUGAAGAAAAUGAUAAUUUUCAAUUCAAGAACGCCAGCCCAUGAAGAAGAAAUUUUUGUCUAUUUUGUUCACUGCUCUUUCCUAAGAGCCUAGAGGCGUGUCUGGUACAUAGUUCGCACCUGUUUGUCAAAUGCUGCCGGAACAUGGCACGAUCUGCCUGCUCUAGGGAGACAGGAGUAUGGAAUGAGGGCAGAGAAGUCUCCCUCCAGGGAGAUCGCUUAGGGCCAUAGGCCAUGGUGGGGAUCAACAUUUUAUUCUUUAGGAAUAGGAAAUUAUCGGAGAGUCUUCACCACCGAGGGAUGAGCUCCAAUUUUGAUUUUGCAAAGAUCACUCUGGCUGCUACAGUGGAUGCUGCGGCAGGUGAAGGCUUGGCAAAGUGUCUGACACUAAGAAGGGGAGUUCAGUCCAACAGCCUCUGGGGCAGUGAGUGAGAAGGUGUUUUGAGAGGCGAAGUAUGGGACCUGGAGGACCCCUUAUCCUGGAGUUUCACUGCUGAGAAAGGCCUCAAAUUGGGCCUUUGGAAAUUACAUCUCAAUGAGCUCUCUUCUCAGUCUCAAGGACUGAGGAGCUUCUGAGACACAGUAGGUUCACCAUGUACAGAGAGGAGACUGAUGGCACCCCCUGCAGCCACACACUCUUUCGGCAGGGCUCUAGGCAGCUCUAAUUGCACGAACUUGUCCUAUAAACAUCUUAGGCAAAAGCACAAUUUUAUUGCGCCUUGAUUUUUUUUUUUCUUAGGUGGAGAGUUGUUGAGAGGUCGAUGCAGUCCACGUAAACAUGUAAAACAGCCUAACAUUUCAAAACCCUGCUAUUUUUUGUUAGGUUGGUGCAAAAGUAAUUGCGAGUUUUGCCAUGAAAAGUAAUGGCAAAAACCGCAUAUUACUUUUGCACCAACCCGAUAUGUCCGUAACCGGAGCAACGGAAAACAAACAAAAAAAAGAGGUGGAAAGACUGGCUCCCCACAACUGAGAGCCUCGU
rnacentral:lncRNA from 10 species